GGUUUACGAGCUUUCCUACCUAAGGCUGAGCUUAUGAAAAGAGUAAAUUGCUCUACUGAAUUGAAAGAGAAUAUGGGACGUCAUAUGUAUGUACAAAUUACUCUAGUAGAUGAAGCUAAAAACAAUUUGAUAAUUAGUCAGAAGGAAGCUUGGGAAAAGCUACAUCUUCGAGAAGG